rnacentral:lncRNA from 1 species
UUUCCUCUUAGUUUUUUUAAAGGGACAAUUAUUUAUAUAUUUCUGAAAAGUUUCUGUUUUUUCGAUUUAUCCCUCUUAAAAGGCUAAUAUGGAAAAUACCCUUACUACGGUCCAACCUAUUUCUAAUAUACCCAUAGUGUUAAAAUAUGUUAAUUAAUUCUGUUAUUUCUGUAAAAUUACUAUUUUGUCCUUUCAAAUAUACCCUUUCACCAUCAUUGUCUUUUUUAUUUGCUCUUAAAGUCGUGACACAAAAAGUAUUUUGACUUUUAGUCUUUUCUAAUAUACCCCUCUACCGUCACCAACAUUUCUUAUUUGCCCUUAAACUAAGUGUAAAAUUGGCAUAUUAAUUUUUUUUAACUGUGCUAAAUAUUUAACUCACGUUUAACCUAAAUUAACUUAACAGGAGAUAACUGUAGGGAUAUUUUACAGUUGAGUAGACUUUUCUUCAAACGUAUGAGGGGUAUACAAAAGAAUAGAUGUAGACUUUUCUUCAAACGUAGCUCUCCACAUUUCUAAAUAUUUAGCACAGUUAAAAGCAACCAUAUUUAACUUAACCCAAAAGAAAAGAUGUAGACUUUUCUUCAACAUUUAAUCAGCCAGUCAGACUGCAGACCACGUGCAGCAAUUUCUUAAUCUGCCAAUCCCAAAAAUCUGACAUUUGGCCACUCUUUUUCUCAGCAAUUUUUAAAACAUUUUUUUUUAAUUUUAUUUUCAUUGGAAGCUAUACAAGUUAUUCAAACGACAUGAAAAUUUGAAACAAGAUGAAAAUUGUUUGUUCAGGGCUUUGCUGCAACUUAAGGGGUUCGCAAAUUUCUUCCCGACACAGUACUGCAGCAGCAUAUAGGAAAGAUGAAGAAACGUGAAAUUAGCUACUCAAAUCAAAUUGCCCCGGACACCUAAUGAACCAAUAGAAUAUACACUUUCAUGCAAUCACAACCAACGGGAAUCCGCGAUUAAAACUCCUCUGUAAAGCAAUCAACAAAGAUUGAUACAUACCGACCGUCCUUAGUACAAGCGGCAAAGGGCUUGGCGUUCGAGGUCCCAAGUUCGAAUUCCAGUUGAUUGAUAUUUUCAACUAAGCUUAUUUAUAAAAAAAUAAACGAAGUGAGUAAAAUGCUAUCUUUCUCUUAAAAAAAUAUGUGCCCACACAUCUGGGUUGGAGAACCAAUUCGCGCCAAGCUCACAAAUUGAUCAACCUCGAUAGCUCUGCCAACUUGGUUCUUUUUUUUUUUUUUUUUCAGUUUCUUUCACUAAUUCGAGGUGAACACAAGUAGACCUUAUUCAGGCUCGAAAUUAAUUCGAGCCAGCUUGAAUUCGGCUCGAAUUCCAUCAUGUUCGGCUCGUUUGCUCCCCUACUUGCGAUAUGCAUUAGAAUUCUUCUUUUAAUAGGAAAAAGAUAUGUUUUCUUUUUAAGCUAUUACUUCCGUAGAAUAUUGAAAAUUUGAGUACGCAGUACAUAUAUAUAUAACUGGGGAAAAUUGAAACCUCAACUAAUGAAAACAAAACGAAGACCAAGUAAUUGUGGAUUAACCUAGAUAUAAUUCUGCUCAUUCUUCUUCUUCUUCUUUAUCCGAUAAUCGCACUUCUUAUUUUAGAAUUGCUGAGGGGUUUAAAUUCUACCUAUUUCCAAAUAUAUAUCAAGAGGCCGAUUGAAAGAAGCUAUGGAGCGCGAGCCGUAACUAGACUCCAACUUGGAAAAUCGAACGGGUCUCCAAUAAAAAUCGGAUCCACCAAAUUAACAAAUCCAUAUACAAGGAGCUUCGCAACAUCAGCCAGGCUGAAAUUUUUACACACAUAAUUUUUGGACGGCAACAUCAACCGAAUUGAAGCCGAUAAUUCAUGGCACAUGAAUAAGAAGUCAAGGGACUAAAAUAGCAAAUAAGGUUUGAUGCGACUGAGUUUAUUUAUCAUUAUUAACCCAUGCAAUGCACGAGAUAUAACCUUUUUUUCUUUUUUUCUUUUUUCGAAAAAUAGAUAGCAAGCUACCUGCUUCAUUCAUUAAGUAAAAUAAACGAAACGUACAUGAUGGAGAGAGACAGCUAGAGCCUCCUGAAAGAGCCGAAAAAAUACAAGAUCGAUACAAGCUAAGAUAUAACCAUAUAUUACAUAUGAUAAAGUUCGCUUUUAUUGUCAUACAUCCAUACGCAUAUAUAAUAUUUUUAACAGAAUGAUACGAGUUUCGGUCGCGAUUACUUCACAACAUAAGCAUUCUAGUAGAAUAAUACUCACAGCUCGUUACCCCAUGACUUAUUCCAAGUAACCUCCACUCGAAUUUCACCAUACUUCCCAGCAAUAUUCUUCUCAGAUGUUCCGUGGAAGAGCGGAGGGAAGUCUGCAGUUCCAUUUGCAAUCUCAUCGUCGGGAGUGAUUGUAUCGUGAUCGUACAAUUCUGCCCUAACACUGAGGGAGUUUUUGGUUGGAACUGCUACUGUCUUCUUCGUCAGUACAAUGCAUUCCCCAGGGCUUACAUUUAUGUACUCCUCUUUCUUCUUACGAAAGAGCAGAGUCUUCUCCCCAGAAGGAUAAUCGCUAUAAGAAGCAGAAAUAUCUCCAUAAACAUCAGCAGGGUUUUCCCCAUCUCCAUUUAUGAGACGAACAGCAAUAGUCGCCUCCACCGCAUCACUUAACACCGUGUAGCAAACUCUUGCAGAACCGUUCUCUCCUUUAACAUCAGCAUAUAAAAUGCUGUCAAAGACAUUGGCGGUGUCGAAAACAUUCCAUGCGAUUUCCCCAUUACUUACUUCAUCAUCCCAACUCACAGCAUCCCUAUCCAAGAGAUGAAGUUUCACAGUGAAGCUAUCAUAAGCUGUGAUAGCUCUACUGGGGCCAGUUAGUAAAAUUUUGUUGCCCGGAUAGAUGGUUUCGUAACUAUCCCGUUGUCGAUCAUAGAUGAACUGACACCCCAGUCCAUCCGCAACCGUGAUUGUGCCGUAGAGCUCGCCGGGGUUCUCGCCGUCGAUGUUGUCGAUGCACACCCAGAACACCUCCACCAUCCGCCGUCCUUGUGGCAAACACAUAUUGUUGUCCUCAGCCGCCAGCAACGUGCGUGGGGGCCUAGGCUUUCCAAAGUUGAAGAAUAGCAAGAUUCCGAGUGCAGCAGCCGCUUCCUCAGCUAUCGUUAUUUGCAUGUCAUUGGGUUGCGGAAGCCGAAAGUAAUGAGUGGCAUCUGCGUCGGCGCGUAGUAAUGCUUCAGAAAGGGUCCCCCAGCCGUGUUCCAGCGCGGUCAUCCAAGUAGGGGGCGGGGAACCGGGGUUAUAUUGGGUAGCCAGAUGCUCGGAGAUACGACUAAAUCUGAUUGAUUCACAUAUCAUUUGAAUCACGACAAUCAAUUGCUUUGCCCUCUCCUGGCGAUCUUCAGUCCAAGCAAGUUGGUUUACAGCAGUUAUGAGCUGAGGCUGGCCGAGGUUUAUGCGAUCUAUCGAUUGUCUGGCAGCAUUUUGUAAGUCAUUGUAACUACCGCCGAAGCCCAGAAAGUUGGAUUCGGGAUGACCACUUCCAAACUGUAACCACUGAUCAGAAUUCUCCAUUUGGUAGCCGUCCAAGUAAAGGUUAUCUCGCCGAAUCCGAAGCUUAAUCUCAUGUUGUUCGGUGUUUUGUAUGGUUUGCAGUACCACCACACAGAACCUCCUGUUGGUAUCAUUAGGAUCAUCAAUUUCAUUAGGAUCAUGAAGCACAGGGCGACCGUGUGAAGACCUACUAGAUGCCAAUUCGUGGCGCAAGGAUUCAAUGAAUUUCUUGUAAGCCACCCAUUCAUGACCUGUACUAACUUCCACCUUAAAUGUGAACUCCAUUAUGUUCUGUUUUUGAGAAAACAUAAGCAAAAAAAAAAAAAAAAAAAAAAAAAACCUUGUUAGAGAAUACAUGGGUUGAAAAAGGACCUAGCAAUGAAUGAAUCACAAUGAUGGAAUUGAGCUUCUAUGUUUUUAAAAGUACAAGUUAUUAGUGCUUGUAGAUUUUUUAUCAUUGGACUAAAAUAUGUAUAGUUAAGAUGAUGUGAGUGAGAUAGUUUAAAAGAUCUAAAUUAUGUUUAAUGAUAUUGAUCGUUGAUUUGAAAGCUUCAUCAUUGAAAAUAAAUCAGUAGUAAUAAAGUCCAUUUAUUACUGAUAGCAUUUCAGCUCAACUCUCUCUUUAUAUAUUUAUAUAAGUUUGUACUGUAGCAAACUUGAAAAUUUACAUACCUUGGGGCUUACAAACAAAGAAAAGGUAGAGCGGCACAUAUAUUCUAGUGAUUACUUUAGCACGCCGAAAUAGCAGCAGUUGAAAGGUAGUAGCACACUGUCUAAGGGCCUAUUUGGCCUAACUUCUGAAAAAGUGAUUUCUGAAAAAGUGAUUUCGGUUUGGAAAAGUGAUUUCUGUUAAAAGUUGUAGAGCGUUUGGUGAGUCUGAUAUAAAAGUGAUUUUGCUGAAGUGAUUUUAGAAAGUUGUUUGGCAAAUUUUUUUGCUGAAGUGAUUUUGUAAUGCUGUUUCACAAUAGUCAUUUUAAAAACUAAUUAAUAUUACAUGCCAAUAUUUCAAGUUAUCAAUAACUAUUUAAAUAUAAAAAAUUGUAGAAUGAUAAAUAUUCAUUUGGAUAACAAUUUAUCUAAAAUCAUCAAUGAUGCAGCAAUACGAUCGCGAGUUUGGAUAACAAUUAACCACAUUUUUCCAUCCAAUUCCUAUUAAAAUGAGUAUUAGGUCGGUUCCCAGCAUUGACCUCUUCAACACAUAUUUCGCAAAAAAUUUUGAGCAAUAAUGUAUCCCACGUAGCUUUAAUUUUUUUUUUUCUUUCGGGGUAGAUGGUUCUCCUUGUGAUGGAUUUAUCUUUCAACUUUCUAAUAAAAAAAUUAUGUAUUAAAAAAUACAAACAACACAAAUGCUAAACAAAUAAUCGAAAUAUCGCAUACAAACUACACAAUACUACAAAUUAAAUAAAAUUUUAAAAUAUUACACACUACAAACUAAUCAAACAAUCAAACACACAUGCUAAGUUGAAGUGAUUAAUAAGCAACUUGAAGUGAUUAAUCAACCAGUUGGGCUCCAACGGACCACAAGUAUCAUGUACCAUUAAGUGAGAAAUGCGGAGAGAAGUGCCAUAAAAAUAAAAUCUCAUCAAUGGCUGCAACUUUACUGUAAAUGGGAGUUGAAUUGAUGGAUAAGUGAGAAAUUCAACUUUAAUGUAAAUGGCUGCAACUUUAUUAUAUGCUAUCCAACAAUCCCAAUAGGUGGAAGCCACCAUGUUACAUGGCAAAGAGCUGGGUCCAUUGACCAUAACAAACUCACAAUUAAUUAGUAACCUGAAGCAUGAGCACAUCUUAUCUACUCUGAAAAAAAGACAAGAACUGCCACAAGAAGAUAAAACUAAAGCUUUUAAGCCUCAAGAGAAGUGCUCGCAGAGCACAGUGGAGGAAUUUUAGUGAAAAAGUUAAUAGCACUUCCUCCCUCUCUGUCUUUGCCGGAUCCGGCCCCGGUGCGGCUGGACCCACGCCACGCCGGCAACGACCCCGGAUCCGACCUCGGAUCCGGCAAAGACAGAGAGGGAGAGAGAGAAAGCUGUAAAAAAAAAAAAAAAAUAAAGUAUCUUCUUUGGAGGUUCGCCGGAGAGAAGGUUCGCCGGUAAGAAAAGAUUCGCCGGAGAGAGGUGGCGCCGGAGAGGAAGAAGGGAGAGAGAUGGAGGAGAGGAGAGGAAAGUGAAAGUGAAAUUUUUAAAACUUCAAAAACCCCCCAUGUAGUUUCGUGCAUUUUCACUUUGCUACCCUGUGGUUUAAAAUAUAUCAAUUUANACGACCCCGGAUCCGACCUCGGAUCCGGCAAAGACAAAAAAAAAAAAAAAAAAAAAAAAAAAAAAAGAGAGAGAAGAGAGUACCUUCUUUGGAGGUUCGUCGGAGAGGAGGUUCGCCGGAAAGAAAAUAUUCGCCGGAGAGAGGUGGCGCCGGAGAGGAAGAAGGGAGAGAGAUGGAGGAGAGGAGAGGAAAGUGAAAGUGAAAUUUUUAAAACUUCAAAAACCCCCCAUGUAGUUUCGUGCAUUUUCACUUUGCUACCCUGUGGUUUAAAAUAUAUCAAUUUAUCCUCCUGUGGUUUCAUUUUUAUCUUUUCGGAAGCUUUUUCGUUAAUAUUUUGUUAAAUUAUAUACAAAAAACUUCAGAUAACCAUCUAUAUUUAUCGAAUAGUCACUUUAGUAUUCUUUAAUUUUAACUUUGUCACUGAUUUAAAAAAAUAAUAAUAAUAAAAUUGAUAACAAAAAAAUAAAAACGAAACCACAGGGGGGCAAAUUGAUAUGUUUUAAACCACAGAGUAGCAAAGUGAAAAUGCACGAAACCACAAGGGGGUUUUUUGAAGUUUUCCCUUUUUUUUUUAAUGUUGGAGAGAAAAGGUUGGCUGUGGUAAAUGAGAGAGAGAGAGAGAGAGAGAGAGAGGGAGGAGGGUAGUUGCAAGUGUAUUAAAUGAUAAAACGUUAAAGUAGAAUUAUAUUAUUUGUUUAGGGAUAGUUUAGGUAUUUUUAUAAAAAAUUUUAAGUGAGAAAAUUAUUUUUGUGGGUAUCAAUUUGAGAAGCUGCUUUUUGCUGCUUCUGUUUUUAGAGGUUGAAAAUUUAAUUUUCUGGUUCUCAGAAGCAAAAUUAGAUUUUAAAAUUUUUAUUGCCAAACACUCUACUUUUAGACUCAGAAUCACUUUUAAAAAGCUUGGCCAAACACCUCCUAACUCACAAACUUUUUACUUUACAAACUAUAGCUAAACUAGUUAGGAGGAUUGAGAAGGCAGUCAGACUUCUAAAACUAUUACUAAUGUUUUUAAUUCUUUUCGCCUCUGCCUUGCUCUUCACGUACGUCCUUCUCCUUAUUUAUAAGCAGUGGGACAACAGAUUUUAGAGCAUUUCAAAUCCGUGAAAAGAUUUUGGAGAUACUUUUGUGUCUCAAACUUAAUUUGGUAUUAAGACUUAUCUGACGUUAUUAGAUAAAAUAAAAUUAGAAUAAAAAUAUACUUCUACAUUCUCCGAUAAAAUCGUAAAAAAUAUAUCGUAACGUUCGAAAAUAAAUAGAAUAUUUUUUAUCAUACGUUUUUACCGCACAUAACGCAAUCUGUUCAUAAUUCCAAAAGAAAUUUUAAAUGCAUUCCUAGCCAUCAAAAUGUUUUUCAGCAACUUCAAAACCUUUUCUUAGUUUUUCUUUUUCAUCGCAAGCUAUAAAGCUGAUCCAAACACCAUCAAAAUGUUUGUUUAUGACUUCACUGCAGCUAAGGGGUUCGCAAAUUUCUUCCUAGAACACCAUAGAGGAAAGAUGCAAAACAGGGAAUAUGUUUACCAAAAAUCAAGUUGCCUCGGACAAAACUAAUGAACCAAUAGAAUCUACAUUUCCAUUUAAUCACAACCAAUGGGAAUCCGCCGUUAGAACUCUCCCAUAAACCAAUGAACAAAGAUCGGCACGCGUCUUGUUACAUUACAGAAUACCCACAUAUUUGGGUCGAAGAAACAGCUCGAGCCAAGCUCACAAAAUGAUCAACCCCUCUGACUCAAUCAACCUUGUUCAUCUUUCUUGCCUUCCUGCGCUAUGGACAGAUCUCCACAUAGUGGAUGUAAGAGGAAAUUGAAUUACAUUUCCGGGCCCUCCCAAACAAGCCAAGGCUGAGUCAGACAUCCUACUUCCAUGUACUUGAAAUAUUGAGUGAUGCUCAUCUCACUUAACCGCAUUUUGCUUCAUGUACUUCAAACUUCUUAUUUUCACGAAUCAUGAGAACCUUGCACCAUCAAAUUUAUCCGCUUAGCGCUAUCUACCCAGAGGCUAUCGCUUUUAUAACUCAUCUGAAAGUAGACUUGAUAAAUAAAUAGAUCAGAACUGAAGCAAUGCAUGCAGAAAAAAAAUAAAAUAAAAAAGUUGGAGAUUACAUUAUUAGAGAUUAUGGAACUGUACCUCUAUCAUUUGAGUAUCUGGCGAGAACCAUCGCACGAGAACACCGAGAUGAAUCACAGCGGGAAUCAAUUUGAAAAGUAAUGGAGUUGUCACCUGCAUGCAUUCACAAUAUACCAUCAAUACAUUAAGUUAAUUUUCUUCUAACCUCCACCAGAAAAGUAAAAUAUUUCAGAUAAGUACAGAGGUAUUAGAUGGUAAUUACCAAACUUAAAGCAGUAGUUCCCAGAAGUAACAGGUACAAUUUACCCUAUAAAAACAUGUAGCAUGCAGUUGCCCAAUCAAGUUAAACAAGAAAACUCACAAAAUAAGUAUAAAUGUGCUUAAAUUUAACAAAAUACCAAACAAAAUCCAUGUGAACCACUAAAUUGACCGAUCACCUCAUCUAUAUGCAAACCUAAGCUACUUUGGCGAGCUGUGUCAACUGUUGUAGUAAAAUAAUAGAAAUAAAAAUACCUCCACGAGAUGAAGGUUUGAAGCACGACUUAGUAACACAAAUGCAAAUUCCCCUAUCUGGGCCAGUGACAUACCAACCUACAAAAGAAACAGGAGAGUCAAAGUUUAUGACAUGUAUAAAUAGUUUAACAGAAAAGAUAUCACUUGAAAUAAGGCCUACAAGAAGUGAUGUCUUGUGACUGUAGCCAAACCCCUUGACGACUAUAGUGACGACAACCGUCUUAAUGAUGAUAACCAGAAUUACAGAUGCAAGUAAGAUAUCCACGUGGUUCCAAAGAAAAUGAACGUGGAUCAGCAUUCCGAUGCUUGCUAGGAAAAGAGCAGCGAAGAAGUUGCGGAUGGGUUCGAUCUGCAGAAAGAACAAACCUGAAAUAAGAGAACAUAUAAUGGAUUACUAUAUCUGGACUUCCGUUUUAUUUAUUAGAAAAAAGUGGUGAGGUGCACUGUGCACAUUAAAAUACAAAUUUAUCAUAAAAACACAUAAAAGAUUCCCAUCACCAGUAAUACAAAGGUAUAAAACUGACAGUUGUAACUAUUAGCUAGCAAAGCCCAUGAUAUAAAACAUAUUGUUUCUAAGCUCACAAUUCCAUUGAGAUGUCAUUUAGACAUAGGCAUUCGAAAUGAGAGAUCAGACAUUUUGUUGCAUGCCACGUGCCUAAUAAAAGCACAUAUAUUAACCUCCUUGUUUAAAUGCAGCACGUGAUAUAUGAUGUCCCUGAACAAAGCUUAGCACCACAUGACACAAACAACAUAAAAAAUUGAAAAACUUACCUGUUCAAGGGUAUGCUGUGAAAGAUCGGUGGUUGAUAUCAUCACUCCAGCAGCAAAGGAACCCAAUUCAAGACUUAGACCCAACUUGUCACUACACUGAAUCAAUAUAAAUUCUAUAUGAGAAAAAAAAACCAAAAAGCUCGUGCACAUUGAGGAGAACAAUAUAUGCGGUCACAUAAAGUGAAUUCAAACUACUGUUGUCGUCAUUCAACUAGUACAGAGUAAACAGUGGAGGCACCAAGGUUGCCCAUCGAGAAAAAAAUGAAUGACUCAAUGUGUGAGUACGUAUGCCUGUUAUUCAUAACACAGUUUCUAGUCACCAAUGAAGUCAAGUACAUAUUAUUUGAGUAACUUUGAAUGAAACCUACUGCUCCUCUCAGCCACAUGCUGCGAAUAGCUACUAGAGCGUCCAUAAAGAUCACUAGUAUGAAGAAUUGUACAUAGCUAUUUUGAUUAGCUUUGAGUAAAACCUACUAAUCUCAGUGACGUGAUGAAAUCAUAUAUCAGAUUAAUGAGUAAAGAUUAAAUAAAGUAGAACAAAUCAAAUGGACAAAUGCAUAACAAGUCCAAACCGUAAACAACAAAAAAAAGUUUCAGAACAUCAAUAAAGGAAUUUUCUAAUACAAAAAGUCUUGAUGUAAGUAAAUGAAAGUAGAGAAUAUGCUGACAGAAAACGACCACUAACCCAGGCAACUAGCAAGCAGAAGGCAACAGAUGCCAGCUGAUAUAAUUCAUUGGUCUGCAUUAAUGGCAAGCUAGUCAGAAAUUACCAACCACAGAAAUGGAAGCGUCUGAGGAGAUAAGAUUAAUGCUACAAAGAAAAUAUCAUAUAAUUUCGCCUCCAAAAAUCAAAAUUACCUGAGAUGAAAGGCUCAUCAUCAGCUUAAGAAACCAUGGAAUGCAUGUACGGGAUAGUAUGGAAAGAAUAGCCAGGAAUGUAAACAGCAGUAUCAACCUGGUGUAAUAUUUUAAAAUUGCAAUUAUCAACACCAUGUAUUUUAACCAUAUUAAGGCACAGAAAACUUUAGAAAAACUAAAAGACACAAAAAUCCAGCUCAACCAAAAGAAAAACUCAUAUGAAUAAAUCAUGUUAUGUAAUUCUUUGACAAAGUAAUUGCAUGAUUUCAUUAUAAAUUCCACAAAAGAAUUGGCAAACAAUUUGGGAGAUUUGCCCAUACGAUUUUGACAUUGAUAUGACUCCUUGAAGGAUGCCAGAUGUGCCUCCCAAUAUGGGAAGUAAUGCAAACAGCAAACCCACGGCGCAAUCCUGGAAAAAAAGUGUCAAUUCAAAACAAAGUAAAAAGCACAACGUAAGAGAACAAAUAAGUAAAAUUUAGGAUAUAAGAUGUACAUUCUUAGAUGAGUCAACAAUCUAAAGGGCAUUAUUAACUUGGUUGUUUGUUACAUUAACUUUUCACCUCAUACGUGUUUACAUCCAGCUUUGCAACAAAAGCAUUACCCAUCACAAAGAUUUAGCAGGGCUAAAAUUCAAAUUACCUGUAAUAUAAGGGUGCCGACUGUAACUUGACCAUGAAGCGCAUUGAUACUAUUUUUUUCCAUCAAAAAUUUUAGAACCUGCAUACAAAUGGUUCACCCAUUACAACUAUUGCAAUUAAAAAAAGUAUGAAUGCUUCAUUCAUUUUAGUAGUCCUAGACAUAUUAAGAAACAUACCACAGCUGUUGAAGACAUGGACAAAAAGGCACCAACAAAGAUACCCUCUGAAACUUUGCCUCCACAUAACUGCAUCCAACCAAUAAGCAGAUAGGCAAUAAAAAUGAGUAAUCUUGCAGCCAGAUGUUCAUUCUCAAGCUAGGCAUUAAAUAAACAACAAAGAAACCAAUUUUUGAGUGUCCCAAGUUUCAUCCUCUAGUAACAGAAAACAAUUGUAUAGAGUUUUUCCAGUUAUCUAGUUGUACGGUUUGCAAUAAGGCACAACCAACAUUUUCAGUGAUUCAUACUAUGAUAAACAAUAAAGAACAUUUCAUAGAAAAGGAUUGAAAGAAAAGGAAUUCGAAAUCUCAGAUGGAAAUAUACACUUAAUAUAUAUGCCAUUAAACAUAGAGCUUUGGGAAAGUUUGAAAUUAAAAACAAGUUCCUCAAACAUUGUUUGUUUAAAGAGAUUUUGUUAUAAUAUGAGCCAAAAAAUCACCCCACUAAAGCUUUUUGAAGCAAAGUAACGAAAUAGGAAAUUUUAGAAAACAAAAUGCCAGGCAUAUAAAGCUAGAAGCAUACCGAGGCAGUUACGCCACACAAACACAUAAAUAAAACAAUUUGGAGCAGGCCUCCAAGUACAGCAACUGCACGAACAACGCGAAGCUGUAAUACAACAGCAAGACUUCAAACAUUUAAUAGAUAGCCAAAGAGGUAGCUAAAAGAAUUCUUGUCUAAAAAAGCAAAUGAAAAAUAGUUGAGGAAGAUACUUUUGUUGCAGAGAACUCCAGGCCCAAUGCAAAAAGGAGAAAAAUCACACCAAACUGAGCUACUGUUUCAACCUACAGAUGAGAAAAAGAGUAGCAUAGUAACAUACAGAGGUGCACAUCCACUGACAUAGUUGGUAUGGGAGAAUGCAUAAAAUGAUGCAACAUCAAAGAAACUCCAUAAAGGUCCAUACAGAAAUUAACCUUCUAACAAGCUAUUACAGCAUAGAAUACAUCCUUGGCUGCCAACUAGGCACCUCAGGCAGGGAAGACUCUUGCUUUCUCUAUGCUGGGACAACGUAAGCAAGCACCUAACCUUUGUCCACAACAGCUGAGCAUGAUGCAUUGCCGUAUCAUUGAAGAGACAUAAGCAUAUCAUCUUUUUAUUCAAAAAUACAUCUUAAAGUAUGAGUUCCAUAUAAGAUAAGUUGCUUUCUUAUUGUUUUUUGGUGUACACCUGUGUAUUUACAUUUUACUGUUUUGUCAGUAGCUUUUCAAUAAUUUUAGCCUAAAUCAUGGUAAGUGAAGUUUGAUUCCUUUUGCAAUAGAUUAGAAUGCACAGUUUCUAUCAUCUAAUUUACCUGUCAAUCAAAUUUACUAUUUAGUCUAUCAUGUGUAACUUUUGAUGACAGAAAUGUUCCAACACUAUAGUCAUGUACCAAUUUCUCUAUAGAUAAAAUUUUUUGAAGCUUUAGAUGCUCAGAGUAAGGAAUUAAAAAAAAAAAAAACUGAAUAUUACGAAUUACAAUUUCUGAUUUGAUGUGCUUUUAGUGGGCAGACACUAAACUGAAGGAGCUGCUCAACAUACAAGUACAAUGAAACAGCAAAAAGGCAUACCAAGUUCAAAAUACAACUACAGACGACAUAUCACUGCAAUUCCAACAAAAGCAAAAGCACCUUACUUGCACCAUUUCACUGACAAAGCUAAAGCCUCCAGGUCCAAUCACAGAUCCUGCAAGUAAGUAACCAGUAAUUACCUGCAAAAGAAUUUCAAGAACUCCUUUCCAUGAGGCUUUUAGAUAUGAAAGACUCAUAAUGUUUUGACAAAUCUAAAUACAAAGAACUACAGAAAGAGAUUAUCUUUAAUUUUUUUUAAAAAAAAAUUAAGUUGAUGCAGCACACUCGAUUCAGAAGAAGAUAGAAUCUAUAAAACAUACCGGUUGUCCAAGACAAGCAAAGGCGAUUCCACCACAUGCCGCAGAUACAAUGACCACAACAAGAUCUGAUAUCAACCUGCGAUGAUUUCCAACUGGUAUAUCACACAGCCACAUUGACGGCAAAAUCUUAAUAGUGUUUUCAAAUAUUUUGCAGUCAUACCUUAGAUCUAACUGUAGCACAGGAUAUUUUGACUUUGGAUUUGAUAUAAUGAAAACAUUGUCCUGCAAAAAACAAAAAGUUUUAAACACUUGCAAUCUCCAUAUUUGAAGCUGUAAAACAGAACGGGUUGAUGAAUAAAAUUGAUUUCGCAUUAAAUUUUUUAUACAUUACUGUGUAAUAAAUGAUAAAGAAAGGCUCGUUAGAAGAAGUUUGAAGCAUAACAAUAAUGCCAUAUACCUUCCGAUCUAUCAAGGUGGGUAUUUCCUCUCCUCGAUUUUCAGAAUCCAGAUUGAAAACAUCAUGCAAUUGAAAUGACCUGUUAAUUUUAAGGAUUAGAGACUGCUUAGUUUAGGAACUUUCCGUACUGGAAAAGCAAGAUUCAUAAAGAAAACAUAUUUAGUGGAAUGGUAAGACGAAAACAAAGAAUGAAGUUUCUCAUAAAAGAAACAAGUACUUCUCAUCUCUAGUCUCAUUCUUCUUUUGUGUAACUCUAGCUACAGUUUCGAGAACCGCCUGGCAAAAGAAAAGAAAAUGAGAUUAGUUCUCAAUUAUGGAGAUAUGUUUGCAUUAUAUGUAAAAACCAAUUCGAAAUAAAUUGUUAUCAACACUUUUGACAAAGUAUAUGAUCUUAUAAUGAAGAAUUUUAUGUCCCAGACUAGAUAUCAGUUAAUGUAGGCUACAUAGUGCUCUUCAUGCUUUAUCAGUGACAUAAUUAACAAAUGUGAUAGAAAGGUGCUCACUCCAAAGAAGAUCCAAUAAGAAAUACAGUAGAUAGACAACGUAUGCAACAAAAGGUACAUCCAAAAGGUACGUUUAUUGCACACAUUCCAAAAUUUGCAUCUAACUUCAAUUCUGUUUAUAUCGAAAGAUUCUAAGGCAAAUUUGAUACCAUUACCCCAUAAUGAUCAAAUUCGUAGCACAAUAUUGUCAACUCAACUGCAAUUCAGUUAAGUAACCAAAGAAAGGCAGCAUGAGAAAUGAUCAACUAGGCUAAUAUUGCUAAUGGCAUUAACCGCACAUGCAUGCUGAUAAUGUAACCUAAUUGCUAAUAGCAUUGUAACAGCAAUAAUAGCAGCAUAUUAACAUUAACAGCACCUUCAUUUCUCUUGUUGAAAAGCUACAUAAUGACCGAUAUUCUUGAUCUCAUGAACACCCAUUAAAUGUGGCAUCUCAAUAUACAAAAUAUCUACAUCUCCCAUCUGAGUUACUUCUCGUGUUGAUGUUUAAAGGGCCAAAGAACUAGGACGUCUUCAGAGAGUUCUCAAGUUGUUCAAUGCCAUUCCAUGGGAGGCAUCACUAAUCUAGCAGCCUCUAAGUAAGAUUUUAUUGGGGAACUAGCCAUAGAUACAUAACUUAAUCUAAGAAUGUUCAUCAACGGUGCUGACAAAUAGACUCUCGAAAAAAUCUAGCGCAGACAAUUUGGUGUCCUCGUCAAUAGUUUCGUACACAGCUUGCUCUAUCUCUGAUUAAGCAGCACAAUGCAAGUUGCAUUACUUCAGAUUUACAAGAACAGAAAAGAUUAGACAGCAGAAACAUAAUGAAAACAUGGUAUCUUAAGUCGUUCUAGGUGCUAUUAGAGUAUACAUGGUCAUAAGUUGACAUACAUAAACUUGACAUUUUCAUAAAAGAGACUAAAAACAAUCAACAGUGCAGUGCUUCUAAUUAUCUGUGAGUUCCAAGAGAGUAGCAAGCAUAACCUGAUUUCCAGCAACGCUGUUGUUAAAGCUACCCACGUCGGUUUCUGCAAAAUUGAGUGAAAAGGAUCCAUUAAACCAUCGUAUCAUUCUUCGAUCAUUGUGAAAUUCUUGUUAGGCAAAGGUAGCUCGACUCCUCAAGAGCCAUGAGAUAUUUAAGCUUCCAUAAUGAUUACAUCCAUAGUGCUGAUAAUAUAACAAAGAUCUAAAAAGGCAAGUAAUUAUACUCAAUUACCAAGAUAGCAUACCUAGUGGGUCAAUGUUAUAAAAGUUUUCCAGUUCUUGACUCUACUUUUGGAAGAAGCAACUCUCAUUCAUAACAGUAGUAGUAACUCAGAUCUCAUUGUUAAACUAAAUAUGUGGAAAGAUUAAAGCGUAAACUGCAGUAAGCCUAAUCGAAUUUACACAACCGUCAUCGCAUCAAUAGCGAGAAAUCUGUAGCGAAACUCCCUCAAAUUCUCGAUUAGGAGGGCAAAGAAAGGAUCGAAAGAAGAAUCAGAGCCAAGAACCAUCCUAUGUGAUUCUAGUUGACCCAGAUUCAAGAACCAGAAAUCCUAGCCCUCCAAAACCCUAGCUCUACACCCCCUCCACCACAUCGCACCUCGGAAUCAGGAUGGAAUGAACGACACAAAAGAGUCAGAUCUAGGAGCUACGAACCUCCGCCGCCCUGCUCGCUCUCGGAGAACUCCUUCUGGAGCGCCCGAUCGAUCAUGUCCGCGAAGCUCCCCUCCUUCGCCCCGCCGGAGCCGUCGACGACGCCCACCUCCGUCGCGUUGCGCGCCUCCGUCUCGCCAUCGGCGGCGACGGCGCCGUCGUCGACCGCCGUCGCACCAGGGGACGCGAUCAGGAAAGCGACGAGUAGCAGCGCGAGGGAUCGGAGGCGACCGCGGCUCCCCAUCGCUCCCGCGAGUAAAGAGAAAGUGGAGAAGGAGCUUUUUGGGAGGGAGAGAGAGAGAGAGAAUAAAAAAGUGAUGGGAGUGAGAAAGGGAUCGCGAUUUCGCGAUCGAAGGGGGUAUGGAAUCGGGGGUAUGGAGUGAGGGGAGAGCGGGGUGAGUCGGGUAACCGCCCACGCCUCUUUAUUCCUCGAUUCUGGCGGUGUCGACGACGCCUAGUGGAAGCUGGACGCGAUGGUGGGGUGCAUAAUUGGGCGGAGCACCGGAUACCGGUCGCUCGCUCCUCUUGUGAUUGAGUGGAAUUAUUUGCGUGGACCCCGGUCUAUAGACCGCAGUUUCCUACCAAACUCAAACAUCGACAGGCACGCAAUUCCACACCACAGUUGGUUAAAAAUUUAAUAUGCUUGGUUUCAGGUACUAUGAUUAUAUUAUUUUUAAUUAAUUUUUUUUGUAAAAUAAAAGAAGUAUAUAGUUUACUAUUUGUUUUAAAACAAAAAGUUCUCAUCCAAAGAGUGAAGGUCGUCUCAAUUCUAGAUAAUGAGCCGUUGACCAGCGUGAAAGUCCAAUUAAGUGAAUUAGUUAGUUACAUCGCUGCCAUCUUUCACUUAUCACUUAGAUCAAAAAUAAAUUUUUUUUUAUGAUUAGAAAAAUUUUAUUAACAAAUCUAUAAUAAAUUUACAUCAAUUUAAAAUAACUUAGAACUCAUAGACCAUUGCCGUUAAUCUUUAAAUUUUUUAUAAAAUAUAUGUAAAAAUAUUAUAGUAGUAUUAAGAUAAUUUUACUCUGUGUAUAAAAUCUGCCGCUAGAAUUUUCAUUAUUGACGUACAUAGCGUUAGAAAAUUUUAUACCCUCUUUAUUUGAUAAUUUAUUUUUUAAAACUAAUCUUAUUACAUCUUUAUAUUUUUUUUAAUAUUGUAAUAUGCAAGUGUUGUAUAAAAUUAUGGAUAAAUUAGAUGUUAAAUUUAUGCCAAAUGUUUAAAUGUACAAGUAGUAUUUCUACUCUUACCUUUCAACCUUGCGUUAAGUGAUGAAAGGACCCGGUUUAUAGACCGCAGUCCGUACAAAACUUUCUCGUUUGUUAGGCAGGAGAAAUUCUUUUCACGACCGUCGGAUGGGAAUUGCGCGGGAAAUAGUAGGGGGCGCAGGGAUCGGACGGCUAGCAUUUCGCAGUGCGUGUGAUGGGAUCUGGAGGCAUAGAGACCAGCGAGGUGAGGUGAGUGUGACGGAUAGCUAACGGUCCAGAGUGGAAACUGUUCCUUACACCCGGUUCAUCAGCACAUCCCACAAACCUCUCCAUCCAUCCAACUCUUCUUUGUACUAAUUAUUAUAUAUUAAUUUUAAAAUCACCACUGUUUAGUACAGAUAGUAAGUACUCCAACACCGACUAAGUGAUCGUCGGAGACGGUGCAAGUAAGAUACAAAUCGGGAAGGAUUAUACAUGACCGGUUUAUGGGUAUAUGGAUGCACUUGGUCCAGACGAUUAGAGUAGGUGGCCGUGGGGCCCACGUCUCGAUCGGGCCGUUCAAUAGGCAUUAAAAACUCGUGUCGGUGGCUUCUUUUGGAGCGAAGCGGUUUACUACUGCUCGGAAUAUACUGAGAAAAUAUUGUCCGCACCUGAGUGCAUACUUACAUCCGCACACGUAUCUAAAAAUGUGAAACAAUUAGAUUUCAAAUUUAGAACCAUAAAUACAAGCCAUCCGGUCCUUUACCACCAUAGCAAUUGCUCUCUUCUCAAGGUAUGCUGAUCAAAUUUGUUUUAUGAUCCACUGCCAACCAUUCAUCGGAGCGAGUCCAUGUACUUCAGCCCACACCGCUCGGAAAUUCAUCGGAGUCCACACACGCGGGACCUGCGUUCCUCGGGCCCAACUGCACCUAAUCACAAAUGAUGGAUUGUGGGCUGAAGCCUUUUGGUGAUUUUUUUAGGCCCAUAAGAUUGGGCCUAACGGUAGAAAAGUUGCAAUAACACGAGAAUGGGCCGCCAAUGAAACUGGCCCACCAUUUUUAAGCCAACAAGCUACGCUGUUUAUUUUCGCCGAGGACAUUUAAAAAAAAAAAAAAAAAAAAAAAAAAAGGCCACACCAGCGGAAUGUUGUCCAAAAGAUAAAAUUGUAGAGUUCCUACUGAGAUUGAGAUGAGACGGUGAUAGGUUAUAAUGGAAAUCUCAAUUAGUUUGGCUUCUCGCAAAAUAAAAGAUAAAGAAAAAGAAGUGAUAACAAGAAGUUAGAAACGAGACUUCAUAUUUCAAAAAUGAGAAGUUUUCAGCGUCCUCGUCACUGCAGCAAAACUUUCGUCAAAAUCAUUAUUAUUGCCGUUUCAGAUGAUAAAUGAUUAAGCAACAUCUUCAUAAAAGCGCCAAUUUAGCUAGCAUAUCUAUUUAGCAUCAAAUAUCAAACAUUUACAACAACAACUGGAAAUCCCCAAACAUUACAUAUAUCUUUAAGAUCAACUGAAUCUGAAACCUAUGAUGCGCCCAAUUUUAUUUGUUUUCGCAAGUCCUUAGUUCACUGCUUGCAUUUCUUAAAAUAACUCGUCACGGAACGGCAACAUCCCCACCAUGUAUAAUAAAAAUAACAAAAUAUGAAAAAAAAAAUAAAAAAAAAACAUGUGAAAAAUUCAACACCUAUUGUCAUUAGACGACCACGUCAUUAUGGCUCCAUGCUCAAAAUUUUGGUGCACAUAAAAAUAAAGGAAGUUAGGCAACGCCAUAAGUAUUGUCACAUACACAUACCUUUUAAGGGCGUUUAAUUGUAAUUCCCUUUUGGUUUUAACAACAACUAUUUAUACUUAACCUUAUGUUAGGGUAGAGAAAUUAAAUUUUCUUUUUUAAAAACAAGUGCACUACAUCCUACGAACAAAUUCAUCGAUAUGUUAAAUUAUUGAUGGAGAUUUACCGAAAAGGCCACCACUCUGGUUGUACCAUUAUUAGAUAUAUUUAUUUAUCAAGCAUUAUUUUAAACCGUUAUUUUAAUACAUCAUUAAUAUGUUGGCAUACAAAAUAUGAUAGUUAUUAAUUGGCUUACACAUAAAAUUCAAAAGUAUCGUGUAUACGUAUUAUUGCCAGAACAAUAUUUUGAGGACAAAAGUAUUUCUUACUUAUUUGUUUGGAAAAUACUUUGAUUAUCCUGUAACAAUAUUUUAUGUAUUAUUGAUAUACUGGCAAAUACAGAUAAUUUUGUUUGACUGUCUGUCUCAACCUGCUAAUACAGAUCUCUAAUAGCAUGAAUGUCAAUAUAUUAAUAAUAUAAAACAACCGUUCCUAGCGUUAAGUGGCAAAAAACUUGAUGAUUAAUAUCCGAAGUCUCAAAUUUGAAUCUUAAAAUUGAUUUAAGGUUACAGCAUAUUCUUUACCUCUCACUUUUUUUUCUCUCUCAAACGAGUCUCCAACAAACAUCCAAAUGCGCAAAAGCAAAUUGGGGAAAAGGCAAAGAAUAGAGAGUGCGAAAAAUGAAUGAUGCUAAUUAAGGGCACCUGCAGAAUCUACAAUAUAGUUUUUCUGCGGCCAUAUAAAAAGUGUUGAAUAAAUAAAUGACUAAAAUACAGAUCUCUGUCCAUUUAGUUUUUAAAAAUCAAAUAAUUAUUUAAAAACGCAGCUAAAUAAUAUGAUGACAUGAUAUAUGUCAUUAAUUUAUAUACUGCUGUAAUAUGGCAUAAAAAAAUAAAUUGCAAACAUAGCAAAUAAAUUUGAGAAAUAAUUUGAUUCUUAAUUAUAUAAAUAACAAAAAAUUAAUCAUUAAUCAAUAAAAAGUAAAAGUAUUAUUUUAAUUUACAGUAAGUUAAAAAAUAACUUUAUAUUCAAGAUAUUUUUAUUUACCUUAACUUUACCUGUCAAUAACGAGAAUAAAGAAUAAAAAUAUUAUUUUUAUUAUUUUGUUUACCAUAGCUUUAUCUAUCAGUGAAAACUCAAACUCUCCUAAUACUGUAAUUAAUUUUAGCAAGUGGCAAGGGACAAAGGGGUUGGUGGUUGGUACCCGAGAUCCAAAUUCAAAUCCUAGUUGAUUCACAUUUCCAGCUAAGUUUAUUUCUAAAUAAAAAAAAAAAAACGAAGCAGGUAACGUGUUACCUAUCUCUAAAAAAAAAAAUUAGCUUAUUUCAAACUAAAGUCAAUUACAAAUAAUAAUAAUAGUAAUAAUAAAAAAAAUAUUAAUCAUUCUCGAACAAUUUCAGUAUUUAGUUUAUUCACUUUGUUUCAAAUAAAAAAAAAAAACUAAAACACUUUUAUUCCAUAACUUAUAAAAAAAAAAAUUCCCAACUUCUAUUAUACUACUGGCAACUGAACAAAACAUUUCCUUUCGAGGACGGGGUGUCGAAGAGCCGAACACGGGGCUGCUCAUGUUCAGCUCGUUUCAUAGACAAGCUGAUCUCAAGCUAUUUCAUUAAAGUAUCGAGUCAAAAAAUCUAACUCGUAUUUUAUUUAUUUAUUAACGAGUCAAGCAUGAGCGGAUCCACGAACAACAAACUAAAAAAUUAAAAAAAAUAUGCAUAAAAAAUAAAUUUACGAAAUCUUAUCCAUUAGACUUUGAUCUAAUGGUUGAAAGUUACACAUAAAUAAAAAAAUUUUAUGAUUGAGUUGGAUUUUAUAUUUAGAUCGAAUUAAAAAUUAAAUAAUAAAAAUUUAUAUUAUAUAUAUAAUUAUUUAUAUAUAUAUAUUUAUAUUUAUAUUUAUAUUUAUAUAUAUAUAGAGCAGGGCUGCUGUGCUCUUAGGAGCACGGAGGCCUCCGUGCUCCUGAGCCGUUUUCGAUGAUGGAGUUUUCGAAUCGACGAUUGGCUCCGUUAAACUUGAUCUAGCGUAUUUAAAGUUUCUAGAAAAUAAUUUUUGCGAUUUUUCGAUAUGAUUUACCUAGCAAUCGAAAGGAUUCAAAAUCAAUAAUUUUUAACGGCUGAAAAUAAAAAUUCUAUAAAAAGUGGUGAUAUAGCACUAAAAUUUUCGAUCAGAAAUAUAGAUCUUGUUGUAGAUAGUAUAAAGAAUUUUCUAUCAAAAUUUCAUCUGAUUUGAAUACUUCUACACCGUUAAACUUGAAAACGGCAGAUAUCAACCAUUAAAAAUUAUAGAUUUUGAAUCCUUUCGAUCACUAGGUAAAGGAUAUCGAAAAAUCGCAAAAUUAUUUUCUAGAAAGUCUAACGGAGCCGAUCGUCGAUUCGAAAAUUCCAUCAUCGAAAACGGCUCAGGAGCACGGAGACCUCUGUGCUCCUAAGAGCACAGCAGCCCUGCUCUAUAUAUAUAUAUAUAUAUAUAUAUAUAUAUAUAUAUAUAUAUAUAUAUAUAUAUAUAUAUAUGUAUUUAACUGUUAUUGAGCUGAAUACGAAUAAACUGAUCUCAAUUCGUGUUCGACUCAAUUAUUAAACGAGCGUUUUAAACUACAACUUAUUUCGAAUCGGAUAGAAGCUGACUCAUAAACAACGAACUGAAUUGCUACUCUAUAGGCGUGGGAAUCUCGAGACCCCCCAAACAAGGGCUAACGACCGCACACGUGGCGAGUUCUCCGUUCGCAGGGGAUCACGUGACGGUGCGCGUGUCAUUUAGAUCCUCCACAUGGUGAGGGUGGUGGUUGGAUGGGGGCCACGUGUACUUUUCCACUUGCUGAUGGGGCCCGCGUCUCGUGAUGCGAACCGCCGCGUGGCGCGAAAGAUGUACGUCCCGCAUUCAUGGCGGAUGCCGACAAAUGAUUUUUCUAUUCCUACGGGGCAUGCGGUAGCCGAUAGUGCUCGCCCGGAUAAAGUAUACGCGAACCGAGCGCACCACGUCAGUCGUCGACCGAAGACCUCUCGACCGUCCAUGACUCCACGUCAUCCCUUCCUUGAAAUCUGCACCGUCCACCCAUUAAACUUUACCCAACGUAAUCUCAGAACUAUUUUCUCCUAAUACAGCGAAUAUUGUUUUAAGGAAAAAUUUUAAAAAACCCUUUUGUGGUUUUGUAGUUUCUCACUUUACCUUCUUGUAAUUUAAAAUAUAUCAAUUUGCCUCUCUGUAGUUUCUUUUUUCUUUUUUCUUAUCAAUUUUAUUAUUUUUUUUCUUAAAUCGGUGAUAAAGUUAAAAUUAAAGGGUACUAAAGUGAAUAUUUGAUAAAUCUAGAUAGGUAUCUGAAGUUUUUGUAUAUAAUUUAAUGAAAUAUUAACGAAAAAGCUAUCGAAAAGAUAAAAAUGAAACCACAGAGGGACAAUUUGAUACAUUUUAAAUCACAGUGAAGCAAAGUGAGAAAAUACGAAACCAUAGAUUGGUUUUUUGAAGUUUUUUCUUUUUUAAAAAGCAUCAGUAUUUGACCGACCUUUUGAGAUUCAGAAAUUUUUUUUUUCUUUUUUGAGAAUAAAAUACAGGAGUGAAAAGUAAAAUCCAACAAUGGAGAAGUGUGCACCAAAAAAAAUAGGGUUAAUUUCCCCAGCAGCCUCACAGAGUUGUGAAAUAUAGUAAACACCUUUUAAAUUUUUUAAAAUUCACAAACUCACUUUUAAAUAUAAUUUUGUUUUUAUAAAUAUCCUUCCCGUUAUCAACUACUAACAUCCGUUAAGUUAACAUAUUUCUUAUUUUACUUCAAAAUAUAAAAUUACUAUUCUACCCACAACUUUUCUGCACUAUUUCUUUAAAAAUCAAAGCUUGCAUGUUCAUUAUUAUUUUUCAGUGCUUACUAAGUAAAAAUAUUCAAACUAUAGACCAUUUGAGUAAAUCCUUGAAAUUUUAAUUAAUAUUUUCUUUGUUUAACAGAAACCUUUGUUUAGUUUUUAAUUUUUUUAGAAUAAGACAUAUGGACUAUCUACACAUUGCGAUUUUAUUCUUAUACAUGUUAAAUUUUGUAUGUUGCGAAGAUACUAAAAUUAUUAAAUUAUAGAGUUUUAUAUACUACAUUGAAUAAACUUUUUAAUUUAAUUAAUAAAAAAAUUUCAAUUUCAAGACAAUAAAAUUUCAGAAUGCUUUAGUUAAAAAAGGUUAGUUCACAACAGGUUGUAGUAAAAUGGUCUCCAUAUAUUCAAAAAUUUUGCCAGAAUAGUGAGAAGAAUGAAAUAGAGUGUAAAGUUAGUAUUUUGAAGUUCUCGUCCCUAAACAUGAUGGAAUGUUAGCUAUGGAGGUAUUUCUGAAACUUUUUCAUAUUGCUGAAGGAUAAAUAUAAAAUUUUAACAUUUUAAAGGGUAUUCAUAAAAGUAAAGCUAUUUGAAAGGGUAUUGAAGAAAUUUACCCAAAAAAAUACUUACCUAGCACAAAAUUUGUUCGGGAUUUUUUGCAUCCACAUCAAAAUUAAACAAAUUAAAAUAAAAAAAAUAUUUAGCUAAUAACGUUAGUCAUGAAACAUAUUAAUUAAUUAACUUUUUUCUGAAUUUCCUUUAUUUUUUUCAUGUAGAUGUGUGAAAUAGUGUCACAACAGAGGAAUGACCACCGACUAUACAUAUCAUUGGUAAGGUGUACUUACUCUCAUCACAGGGUUCUAUUUUGGAGUAUUUAUCCUUCACAACGAGAUGGGCUUAAUUGGGCGCUAAUUAAGUUUUUGUUUUUUCAUUCCUUUGAGACGAAGCACUGCGGGUAAAAGUGCUUAUCCGUAGCUAUUGUUGUAAACAAUAAGCAACUAUUUAUAUAUACUUUUGCAAUGUUACGACAAAGUACUCAAAGCAUGCAUUACUCUUUUCACAUGCUCCUGUUCCCCAUUCACAUGCAAGCUCACUUACGUGUCCAUUCGCCUCCCUAAACUAUCAAACUUUUCAUUAUAAGUAAUAAUAAUACAAAUAAUAAUAUGACAAUAUUACUGGAUCAAAGAGAUACAUGUACUAUUGGCACAAAAUUUAGAAAUAUUUCUAGUUGAAUUUUGCUAAGUUUAUAUUUAUAUUUAUAUAAAAUAUAUGUUGUGGAGAAUAUUACGUGCCUUUAUUUCAGAUAUGUCACGUCGCUGUUUCGGUCAUCUGACCCCUUGAUUACUUAAUACUUGGCCAAUUGAGUUAAAAAACAAAGUGGCUCCCUCCAUGUGCUGCUACAAGCUUUGGUGGGCAUGCACUUUGACAGGUGAGGCACCUGCUCGACCAGUUUAACUCGGGUUUAACUAACACACCUCGAAGCUUCUUGAGUCCGACAGAGUACUACCAACAACUUUAACAUGGCUAACUCUCUCGCGCACCACGUAGCGGCAUUGUUGAUACGUCUAAAUUUGUGUGCCACGAAUCUAUAUAUGUUUUUAUUCUUAUGUCUUAUAUCUAUGUUGUGCUCGAUAGUUUCUUGCCAUAAAUAAAUAUAUUAAAAGCAUUGAUGCUAGAAAUAGUAGUUAGUAUUGUUGGAUGGGUGGGUUCUUUCCGGUGGGUAUCAUUUUGGGCUCGGAGCUUCAGCAUUUGAGAUCUAAACACUAGUUUUAAUCAUACGUGAUAAAAGUUUCCAUGCUUUUUUUUUUUUUUUUUCUUGUAAAGGAUUCUGCUCGCACAGUUAUAAUUUAAUGCCUUAUGAUUUGUUUUGUUUUUGAAAGCGAGAUGUAUGGUUUAACUAGCGAAAGAGACGAUUCGAACAACACCUCACUCGUCUCACUGAAUAAUGCACAAUUAAUAAUUUAGUAAGUGUUAAGUAAUAGUUUUCUUAAGAGCCGCUGAUGUAUUGAUAUGCUGUUGUAGUACAUGUAUUUAUUGAUUUGACUAGUAUAUGUUACUCUUUUUGAAAAGUUACAAACACCGUUGGAGACGAUAGGAUAGGUUAGACCUAAAAGAGAGACACCCGGUCCUCGACGACGACGACGACGAGGAGAAAUUAACUGUGUGGUGUGAUCCCCCGGCAUGAAAUUCUCAAUUCAAUGCCACUCAAUGCAGUGGGACUCACCAUCAACAGCAACCGUCCUUAUUGUUUUGAUCAGCAAAUGGACGGUUCGUGAUGUUAUAUUGUUUUAUCUCCGCAGAGCCAACACGCUCUUGUACGAUUCCAUUGGACCAGACCGGUCCGAACCUGCCCAAAUUAACCCAGGCCCAGCACUUCGCGUCCUUCUCUCUAUUACAGUGCUCAAUUAUAUAUGAUCUGUAGCUUUCAGUGCUGGAACCUAAUUUGCACCGUCCAAAUACAUCAAUUUUAAACAUUUUUCUUCAAAAAAAAAAAAAAAACCCCUAAAAAAAAUUGAAAAUUAAAAAGAUUUGUUAACCAUAAAAUAGUAAGAACUUAGAACAGUUAAACUUAAAUAAAUUUCAUUAAUGAUCAGCUCAUUUAGUUAGUCUUAAUUGUUGAGUUUCCGUAUCCUCCCAAACAUCAGUGUUAAGGAUGACGACUCGGUUAAUUCUAAGCAGGUCAAGCGUUGCGCCAAUGUUAAAUGACCUACUUCUCCACAAUGUGGGGCCCACCUUGAGCCAAAAUCUCCGCCGAGUCACGGUUCGUAUAAUUAAUUUCAAUGCCGAGAUAUGGAAAAUCUUGGCACGGAUAGCAGGUUAAAUGCGGGGGCAAGGUUCAUGUGAUUGGGCUGUUACUGACCCACGCAUUGACUCCUCCCCCCUCCCAGUUAAGAACUUCCACGUGGACGCCACUCUGUUGCUCUCCCAACACCCAAUCGAGCCAAACCCGAAUAUCAAACUGACCCGGAAUAGCCCAACCCUGCUAUGAAACUAACGAGUGAACUUCAAUAUUUACCGUAUUUUUUGUUUUUUAUCAUUUUGUAAUUUCAAAUAAUUUUAUAUUAUUUUUUAUUUUACUAUAAAAAUUUAUUGUAAGCAUUCUGAUAGAGUAAUUUUUUAUACUAUGUCGUGCUGCUUAUAAAUUGUAAAAAAAUAUUAUUUUCAUAUAGUAUUUAAUUGUAGAAUUUUAUUAGUAAAAAUAAAAAUAUUUUUUUAAAAAAAUUAUAGAAUGGGGAGAUAAAAAUAUGUUGGUAAACCGUACAGAAUAAAGUGAAGCUUAAUUUCCACUCAUGUAACAUUUUUUGUCAUAUAGUAUUUUAUUUUAAUUUAGCGAAUAAAGUAGGGUUAUAUUGUCUUAUCCAGAGCAUUGUGGGGACCAGCGAAAGGGAAGAGCACAAGGGUUCCCGGAAACGUGUCCGAGCACCGCGAACCCAACGAACCACCCCGCCAUGCGCAUGUCUGACACAGCCCUCUCCGCCCUCCACGUGUCCCACCACCUCAUGCCCCCCUCCUUAAAACCGACAAAUCAUCGCAUGCACCCGGUCUACACCUACGGUUCGCGCAGCGGGCACCAAAUUGCCGCUGUGGAGAGGGGAGUUAUUGUUAGGGGCGGCGUACGGUGCACGCGGUGCAUGCAGUAGCUUCCCGUUCAAAACCGUCUCUCAUAACUUGGCCCCGUCCGUUACAGCACCCCCCUUCCCUAACGGGUUUCGUCACGCCCCAUCCGCGCCCCGCGCCCGGACUCCACUUCCACCGCCUCAGUCUCUGAAGCAUCCAAACGGGCGUCAGUUUCUAAACCUUCCCCAACUCCACCCCCACCCCCACGGUUAACUUUUUAACUUAACCCCGGUCAUAUCAUCCUAUCCCGAGUUCCAAAGUUCCCAAGUUCCCAGCCCAGUUAUAUUUAUAUUCUCCCCAGUAUCUCCCAGAGCCCUCCCCACAGUGUGUGCGAAGAAGAUACUAGAAAAGCGGGGAAGGUUGACGUACGCUUGCUGUUGGGGAAGGAGGAGGAUGAUGAUGAUGGCGAUGGGGGGAGAAGCAGCAGCAGCAGCAGCAGCAGCAGCGAGAAGAGCCCAUUUCAAUCCGACGGUGGAGAUCCCUCCUCCGUGGUCCCCGCUGGACGAUCCUGCGGCGGGAGCGUUGGGGAUGGGGAUGGGGAUGGGGAUGGGGAUGGGGCUGAGCCCCUCCGCGGGGGGGGAGUACGCGGCGUACCUGGUGGGGGAGGAAGGGGGGGAGGAGGGGGAUCUUCCGGAGGAGGCGGACGUGUACGCGAGCGACGAUUUCCGGAUGUACGAGUUCAAGGUGCGGCGGUGCGCGCGCGGGAGGAGCCACGAUUGGACGGAGUGCCCCUUCGCCCACCCGGGCGAGAAGGCGCGCAGGAGGGACCCGCGCAAGUACCACUACUCGGGGACGGCGUGCCCGGACUUCCGCAAGGGGAGCUGCAAGCGCGGGGACGCCUGCGAGUUCGCGCACGGGGUGUUCGAGUGCUGGCUCCACCCGGCCCGGUACCGCACCCAGCCCUGCAAGGACGGCACCGCCUGCCGCCGCAGGGUCUGCUUCUUCGCCCACACCCCCGACCAGCUUAGGGUUUUGCCGCCCCAGCACGCCAGCCCCAGAGGAGGCGGCGGAGGAGCAGCCGGACCACCAGGGACCGCGGCGGCGGCGGCGCUGGACUCGUACGACGGGUCGCCGCUGCGCCACCGCGCGGUGGAGGCGGCGUACUUGGCGAAGGGGCUGAUGUCGUCGUCGCCGACCUCGACACUGAUGUCGCCGCCGGUGUCCCCGCCGUCGGAGUCGCCGCCGAUGUCGCCCGGGGCGGCGGCGGCGGCGGCGGCGGCUGCUGGGGUGAGGAGGGCGUCGUGGCCGGCGGUGGGGGCGUCGGUGGGCGAUUUGGUUGCGUCGCUGAGGCAGAUGCAGCUGGGCAAGGUGGAGUCGCCGCCGAGCGCGUGGGGGUUUCGCGGCGGCGGGGGUUUCACGCCGGUGGGGUUCUGCAGCCUCCCGACGACGCCGACGAGGGCGGUGGGAGGUGGUGGGCGGAUGGAGAAGGUGAAUCCAGAGGGGGAUGCGGAGGCGGUGGAGAGGGUGGAGUCUGGGAGGGCGCUGAGGGCGAAGAUCUUCGAGAAGCUCAGCAAGGAGACGCCCUCGUCGGCCCUCGCGACUGCGCCGGAUUUCGGGUGGGUCUCGGAGUUGGUGAAGUGAGAAGAGAGAGAGAGAGAGAGGGAGAGAGAGGUAAGAGAAGUGAAGAGGGGAAAUGAAGCCGAAGUUACGGGGAGGUUUUUGAAAAAAAUUAUAAAAAAAAAAAAGGAAAAGGAGCGUAGUAUUAUUCGAUGUUAUUUUGGGUAGUUACCUGUAAAUAUUAAUUAAGCAACGAAGUUAAGAAAGGGAAAAGAAAGAUGCCACUAUUUUGUAGAUAUAUGUUGUGUUUAUGUGAAGGGCAGGGUCGGAGGUGCAUGGGGAUGGAAAUGGCUAAGCGGUGGAUUUGUUUUGGGGAGGAAGAAGAAGUUUAAGUUGAAGAUGACGAUGAUUGAUGAAGAUGAUGAUGGUCUUCUUUUUUUCUUUUUCCCCCUACUCUUCCUUUUUUUUCUUUGUGGUCAGUGUACAGGGAGCAGUAACUAAGUUGGAUUGAGUGCUACCGAAGACGAAGACGGGUGGCAUCAAAAGCCGUGCAAAUUCGCUGAUGAUUCUGAUUCAUAUUUCUGGGGACAUGAUCGUGAUCUCUCCUAUUCUGCUUGUUUUGGUUCAAGUUCUUAUUUGGUGUUUGUACUAGAUCAGUUACCAUUAUCCUUCCUGCUAGCCUUAUAUUUGCAUGUUAUUAUUUUAUUUUCAUGUCAAAUAUUUGUAACCACUCCUUAAAAUGAGAUUGUAAUAUAUACUUGUACUACUUGUUCUUUUAUAUAUAUAUAUAUUUAUAUUUUUCCCUCAAUAAGUUAAUUGAUUGAUCCUCUGUUGAGAGUUGAGACGAGGGAUUGUUUGCAUCAUUAAAAUUGCAUGGACAGUUGAUGGUGUAGAACAGACGGUGGACGUCGCUUUUCCGCAAUGUCGUGCAGGAUGAUAAAGAGAGAUCGGACGGUGACGUACAGACGUGGCACCUCUCUAUUCUGAUGUAUUAGCCUUUUGUUGAUUGUUGAUUGCACUAUUUAUUUUAUAUAUUUAUUUAUUUUUUUGAGAAAAAUUAGCCAUCAUUUUAUUUAUUUAGAAUAUAAAUUCGGCUACAAACUAUCACUUCAUUCAUUUAGAGUAUAAAUUCGACUACAAACUGAGACAUCUAGGCUUCGAAGCGACACACAAAAAAAAAAAAAAGAAAAAAAAAAGAAAAAGUUAACGCAUAUCUCAUAUCUUAUUAUUGCUCCAUCAAUAUCUUGUUAUUGCACUGUUUUUGGUCAUCAAUCAAUCUUCAUUAUUUGUAAUUACAUAGAUUUCUAACUUUCAAAAGUAUUGAAUUUGUUAGAUGUCUCCGAUUCUAAAAUUGCAAAAAUUUUUAAUUCUGUUAUGUUUGGAUUAUAUUCUAUGAAAUUUAAUUUUAUUGAGAUUAUUUUUAGUAAAUAUAUAUUUUUUAAAUUCGUUAAAAUUUAUUUUUUUAAAUUUAUUAAAAUAUAUUCUAUAAAAUAAAUUUUUUUAUAUAAAUUAUAUUUUUAGUUAUGUUAAAAUUUAGCCACUAUUCAAAAUAUAUAUUUUAUUUUAUUAAUUUUCUGAAGCAAAUGAAAAAGAAUGAGUGUAUUUUGGGUUUAGAAUUUUAUAAGAAAGAUAUUUUGUAUAUUAUUUUGAUUAUAGUUAAAAUUUUCACUACGUAUUUGUCUGUGGAUAUAGAUUAGUGGCUGAAUCACGUAAAUAUUUAUGUAUUUUAUUUUUAAAAAUUUUUUAGUGUUUUUUAUUUAGAGAAUAAAUUUUUAAUUUCAUCAUAAUAAAUUAGUAUCACAGAAAAUUAGAUAACAGUAUAAGUGGCGGACUUUUAGCAGUAUUAUUGCUUUCUAAUUUUUUUUUUUUCACUUAAAUUUCUCACCUUUUAUCCUAUGUGUGUUUGAUCACAUCAUCAUGCAAUCACAUCAUCCUUAAUGAUGUUUCAUGUGGUCCUCGACGGUUAUGACGCUCUCCGUUGGGUACACGGUAUCAGUAAUAUUUUUAGAAUAAUUAAUAUCAUAAUUAAAUAUAUUUAAAUAUAAUUAUUUUUAUCGAGUAUAUUUUUUAUUAUUAUUUUUUUUUAUCUUUCUUUACUCUAAUCGAUUUCGGCCCACGAUGGGACGAUAUCAAUUAUGCCAUUUUAGAUUAACUGGAGUUUCGAUCGUAACUCUUUUACGGCGAACCAAACAACGAAAGUUGUUAGUUUUUACUAAAAAUCACUUUCUUCCUUCCACUUCCAUCCCACUUCUUUGCAAACAAACAGACUCCUAAUGAGCGAGUAGCCUCAAAAUGAACAGCUGAAAAUAAAAAUUUCAUAAAAACAGUAAUAAAAACUCAAAUUUCAAAUCGAAAAUUUUGUUUUUACUUUUGAUAUUAAGUAGAAUUUUUUAUUAAAUUUUCAUAUAAUUUGAAUACUUCUACACAGUUGAACUUAAAAUGUACCACAUAGACCAUUAAAAUAGUCAUUUUUAGACUCUGUGAUCGCUUGGUAAACUAAGCCAUCCAUUUUUAAGAUGUUAUUCGAUUUUAACCGUUCAUUUUAUACCCGGUUGAUGGACUUUGUUAUGAUUUCGAAAAAUUACGAAAUUUAUUUUCUAGAAUUUUGAAAUACUCUAAAUCAUAUUUAACGAAGCAGAUUAUUGAUUGGAAGCUCCUUAAUUGAAAAUAAUUUAUGAUUACGAAAGGUUUUAUACUCAUAAAAGUAUAGUAGCCCUAGGCUAUAUAUAUAUAGCCUGCUCUCUCUCUCUCUCUCUCUCUCUCUCUCUCUCUCUCUCUAUAUAUAUAUAUAUAUAUAUAUAGAGCUAGGCUCCUAUACUUUCGAAAGUACGGAGGCUUCCGUGUUUGUAAGUUGUUUUCAAUGAUGGGACGUCCGAUUCGGCGAUCGGUUCCGUUAAAUAUGAUCCACGCUAUUGGAGCUAUCUGAAAACCAAAUUUCAUAAUUUUUUGACUUCGUUUGCCUACUGAACGAGUAGUCUCAAAAUGAAUGGUUAAAAAUAAAAAUCUCAUAAAAAACAGUGAUAAAUGAGUCAAAUUUCAAAUCGGUAGUAUUGUUCUUACUAUUGAUGUUAAGUAGAAUUUUCUAUUAAAGAUUUCAUGUAAUUUGGAUAUUUCUACACCGUUGAACUUAAAAAUGUGCCACAUCGGCCGUUAAAAUAGUCAUUUUUGAGACCCUGUGAUCGCUUGGUAAAUGAUGUCGAAAAAUUAUAAAAUUUGGUUUCUAGAUAGUUCCAAUAGCAUAGAUUAUGCCUAACGGAGCUGAUCGUCGAAUUGGAUGUCCUAUCAUCGAAAACAACUUACAAGCAUGGAGGCCUCCGUUUUUUUGGAAAAUACAGAAGACGUUCUAUAUAUAUAUAUAUAUAGAAAGAGAGAGAGAGAGUUGGACUGGAAUAUUAUUGAUAGUAAAAAGGGUCAAAUACUAUUAAUAGUAUUCCAGCCCAACUCUCUCUCUAUAUAUAUACUCCUACACCAAAAGCUAAUAUUUUGUACUUAUUUAACCAUAUUUUCUUUUAAUUAUUAAAAUUUUAAAAAUUUAAGAGUGCUUGCGAUAAGAUGUAUACAUUUUUUGGGUGGUAAAUCGUAAUAAUAAUUUAUGCGCAUAGAUGAGUAACUAUUACCUUCUAAUUAGUGAAAAAAUUAAUAUAAAUUAUACUAUUGAUUCUCAAACUAUGAGCUGCAUGAUACUUUGAUUUUCAAACUUUAGUUUACUAUAAUUUGUAGCUUAAAUUUUAUAAAUUAUUGGAAUUAAGUUGCACAAUACAAUUUAUUAAGCUAAAUAUUGACGAGAUGCUGAUGUGAAAUAACUAUAACAUACUAAUUAUUUAAGUAUAUAUCAUCAUCAUAAUACUAUUAUAUUAUUUUUACAUUUUUGAUACAUUAAUAUUUAACUAAUUAAAUAGAAUUAUAUGACUUAUUUAUAAUAAUUCAAAAGAUUCAAGCUGGCAUCUUUAUAAUAAAUUAAAAUUUGAGAAUCAAAAUAUUACCAAUCUUCUAGUUUCAAAGCAAAAACUGUCAUUACGUAUAAAAUUUAUUAGGUUACUGUUUCAAUAUGUUUGAAAUUUUAAAAUAGUAAUACGAACAACAUCAGAAAUAUACAAUUUUUUUAUUUUGCUUCAAUUAAAUGCCAACCAUCUAAAGGUUUUUCUUAAUUUUGACGAAAUAAACUACGUCACUUCAUUAAUAAAAAAAAACCUAAAUACUUCUAUAAAUUAUGUUUAAUUUUUUUAAAAAAUAUAAUAACUCAAUGGCAAAUAUGCAUGAUAAAAUAGACAUGUAUAAAUUAUAGUCAAUUUUUUUUUAAGUAUUUAAAGUAUUUUAAAUUAUAGUUUAAAGUAUUUUCUAUUAAGUAUUUUCUAUUAAAAUUUGAAGCCAUUGAGUUUGGAGUUUAACAGUAUUUUCUAUACUGUUAAACUCCAAACUCACCAUAGAAGCCAUUGAAAAUUGUCAAUUUUGAAAUAGUUUGAUCAUAAAGUAAAACAUGUCGAAAAAAUAUAAAAUUUUAUUUUUAAAAUCUUUAAAUACCCUAGAUCAGUUUUAACGGUGUGGAUCGUUGAUUUGAACACCCUAAAAUCGAAAACGAGACAAUCGUACCGGAGCCCCGAUACUAUAGAUAGUAUAGGAGACUAGUAAUACUAUAAUAUAUAUAUAUAAUAUAUAUAACUAUAUAUAUUAUAAUAUAUAAUAUAUAUAUUAUAAUUAGGUGCAAUAACUAUUGAAUGCAGUCAAACGACGCAUUUCUUUACUAUUAAAACUUUUCUAGAGCCUUUGAUGAAAAUGAAUUGUAGGUUAGGAUGAGAUUAGUCAGGUCAGAGUUGACGUGGUCCCGCCUAGAUUGAAGUGGUCCCACUAGGCUAUAGAUUUAAUCAUAGCUAGAAUGAUGAAAAGAGUUGACCAAAGGCUUAAAAAUAUAGCUAACAAUAGCAUUUUCUACUAAUUAGGUAGCGUCAACUAUAUAUAUAUAUAAUAUAUAUAUAUAUAUAUAUAGAAGGCUACUAUCGCUUAUCGGAAGUCAGGAGCCAUCGUGCUUUCCACUCGUUUUCGAUGUUUGGUACUUUCGACAUCGUGCGAAUCGGCUCGCGAUUAACUUGAUCUAGAGUAAGUUGGAAGUACCUAGAAAAUAAUUUUAUUAUUUUUCAGAUAUCAUUUGCUCUAGUGAUCGAAUGGCGCUCAAAAAUCAACAAAUUUCAUGGUGUAGAUGAGCCGUUUGCAAGUUUAACGGUGUAGAAAUAUCCAAAUCACGUGAAAUUUUGAUAGAAAAUUUUUUAUACUAUAUAAAACAAGAUCAAUAUCUUUGAUUUAAAAUUUUAAUGUCAUAUUAUCACAUUUUGUAAGAUUUUUAUUUUCAGCCGUUGAUUUUAAGCCCAUUCGUUCACUAGGCAAAUAAUAUCGUAAAAUCAUAAAAUUUAUU